CCGCUUUCACUCGCACGAUGUAGCUGUCACUGGAUAAAGAGAGAGAGGGUUUGUUAGAGAGAUGACUCCAAUGGGGUUUAAACGAGCUGGGACUGAAACACUUCACCAUUUCCCAGUUGGAUCCAGUUUGAAUCAGGUGUCUGCUGUUUGAACUCGUCAUCUACUGAAGUAGAGAAGAUGAGUCAUGGGUGCCCCCCUCGGCUUCCCCUGAGGUGACCUGUGGAGAGCAGGGUGUUGGAUCACAAAGCUGUAUCUGCAUCAUCAUGGGGGCAGCGGAAACAAGCUAUUAUCAUAACACUGAUGCAUAACAACCUUGUUGAGGCCAAUGUGUCAGCAAACUUAUCUUGUUACACAUCCGGCCGCCACAAGAGAAGACUUGGCUUUCGUUUUGUCUCCUGCUCGCUCUGCUUUGGUCUCCACCGCCUGCCGAGCUCUUCUGAUAAAAGUGAUUAUUAACUAUGGCUUCAUCUUUUGUUUUAUGAAACAAACAUAACAUGAUAAUAGCUGGUUUAACAAAAAUUAGGCAGAAUAUAGGAGAAAGGAUGUUUAAGUUUUCUCAGGUUUUUCUUUAU